GACAGAGGGUGCAAACGUUGCUCGGAAUCACUGGGCGUAAAGGGCGUGUAGGCGGGAAGGUAAGUCGGGCGUGAAAUCCCCGGGCUCAACCUGGGAACUGCGUUUGUGACUGUAUGACUAGAGUACGGUAGAGAGGGGUGGAAUUCCGGGUGUAGCAGUGAAAUGCGUAGAUGUCAGGAGGAACAUCGAUGGCGAAGGCAGCCCCUUGGACCUGUACUGACGCUCAUGCACGAAAGCGUGGGGAGCAAACAGG
rnacentral:rRNA from 1 species